rnacentral:rRNA from 1 species
GACGAACGCUGGCGGCGUGCCUAAUACAUGCAAGUCGAACGCUGAAGAGAGGAGCUUGCUCUUCUUGGAUGAGUUGCGAACGGGUGAGUAACGCGUAGGUAACCUGACUUGUAGCGGGGGAUAACUAUUGGAAACGAUAGCUAAUACCGCAUAACAAUGGAUGACACAUGUCAUUUAUUUGAAAGGGGCAAUUGCUCCACUUCAAGAUGGACCUGCGUUGUAUUAGCUAGUAGGUGUGGUAAUGGCUCACCUAGGCGACGAUACAUAGCCGACCUGAGAGGGGGAUCGGCAAAACUGGGACGGGAACACGGCCCAGACUCCUACGAGAGGCAGCAGUAGGGGAUCUUCGGCAAUGUGGGCAACCCUGACCGAGCAACGCCGCGUGAGUGAAGAAGGUUGUCGGAUCGUAAAGCUCUGGUGGAAGUCAAGAACGGGUGUGAGAGUUGAAAGUUCACACUGUGACGGUAGCUGACCAGAAAGGGACGGCUAACUACGUG